rnacentral:rRNA from 1 species
AUUGAACGCUGGCGGCAGGCCUAACACAUGCAAGUCGAGCGGAGCGGCGGACGGGUGAGUAAUGCCUAGGAAUCGGCCUGGUAGUGGGGGAAAACGUCAGGAAACGGGCGCUAAUACCGCAUACUAUCAGAUGAGGCUAGGUCGGAUUGGCUGGUUGGUGGGGGAAAGGACUACCCAGGAGACGCUCCGUAACUGGUCUGAGAGGAUGAUCAGUCACACUGUAACUGAGACACGGUCCAGACUCCUCCGGGAGUCAGCAGUGGGGAAUAUUGGACAAUGGGCGAAAGCCUGAUCCAGCCAUGCCGCGUGGAUGAAGAAGGUCUUCGGAUUGUAAAGCACUUUAAGUUGGGAGGCGUUACCAACAGAAUAAGCACCGGCUAACUUCGUGCCAGCAGCCGCGGUAAUUC